rnacentral:tRNA from 10 species
CUUUGUGUUCUUGAGAAUAAGACACCUUUGCUCCAGGGCUUAGUGAGCAGGGCCUGAACUGGAGUUCCCUCCCACCACCUUAACUGAACUCUUCAUGCAGGACACAGCAUGUACAACCUCACAUAGAGUUCCUGACCAGACAAGACUUGCUGGAAAUUUCCCAGGAUCUUCCUUCCUUAAGGUAGGAGUUUAUAAUAGGUUAUAAUUUAUGAAAACAAAAUAUUUUUUCCUCCUUCCUCCCUGCAAAUAUUCUAUACUUUUUGUAUGAUUCUGAGAUAUCUUCUCCUGUAUCCUUGCCAACCACUAACAUCACCAUAGCCCCUCUUACAAAAAUCUUUCUUUCUUUUUGGACAAUGCAAUUGUGCAAUUCAGUGUUUUUCUGCAUGUUUCUUUUAUCUUUCUAAGGCUUGUUGCAAAAAUAUCUCUGCUGUCCAUUACCUCUUCCUUAAUAUUCUUUCUUCUUAUUCUUCUCAAAGAAAUGACCAGCAAUUAAAGCAAUUCCUGUAUACCAAAAACAAAGCUUUCAAGGUUGUUUUAAAUGGGAUACAGAAAUAAACACACAUACGUCUAAUUUCAACUAAACUGAACUUGUAGUAGCAAAGAGAUUUCUGCAUUUUUUUUUCUUUUGAGAUGGAGUCUCGCUCUGUCACCCAGGCUGGAGUGCAAUGGCUCAAUCUCAGCUCACUGCAACCUCCGCCUCCUGGGUUCAAGUGAUUCUCCUGCCUCAGCCUCCCAAGUAUCUGAGACUACAGGCAUGCGCCACCAUGCCUGGCUAAUUUUUGUAUUUUUAGCAGAGACGGGGUUUUGCCAUGUUGGCCAGGCUGGUCUUGAAACCCUGACCUCAGGUGAUCCACACAGUUCGGCCUCCCAAAGUGCUGGGAUUACAGGUGUGAGCCACCGCGCCCAGCCUGCAUUUUUUAUUAUAGAUAUAAAGGGUCAAAUAUUUUACUAUCAAAUAUUGGUAACAAAUGAAUUGAAUUCCCUCACUGGCACCUAAACUGCUGCCAAGACUCUUCUGAACCCGUGUGGUCUUCCAAAUCUUAUAUAUCAAAUGUAUCAAAAAAUAGCAGGAUAUGUUGUGUGUGUACUGCUGGGGUUGUUUAUUUGUUUGUUCGUUCAUUCAUUUUUGUUAUUCUCACUUAAUUUUUUUCAUCAGCAUCCAUCAUGGGAAGCCACCUUGCCCUAGGGAGAGCUCCUGACCUAGGGUCAGGAAUAUAUUAAGGAAGACAGCAAUUAAUACAUUCAAAAAUAAUAAUAAUUACAAAUUGUAAGUAUAAUGCAGGCAAAGUGAGAUCAUGGGGUUUUGGCUUUACUCUGGGAGUCAGAGAAUUUCUCUGGGGAGGUGACAUAUAAGGGAAGAAAUGAAAGACAGGAGAGAAAUUAGCCUGACAAAGAGCAGAGAGAAGAACAUUCCUGGCAAAGAUAUUGGCAUGGACAAAGGCCCCAGGCAAGAACAAGAUUAGCCCCUACGGCCAGAGUGGCCAGAGAACAGGUGCGUGAGGUGUGUAAGGGACAAAGCAGGCCAGGGCAUUUGAUUUAAGGUUUUUGGAUAUUGGUUCAUUUUUCAAAAACCAAUCUUUAGCCUCUUUCAUCAAAAGCAACCCUGUUUUCAUUAUUUCUGGUAGUUCUUUUUGUUGGUUUUAUUAUUUCUUGGUAAAGUAACAGAUAGGAAGUAGAUGACGGACCUGGCUGCAUGUGUCAGGUGCCUUUGCAGCCUUUUCCAGGCCACUGGAGCAUUGCUAAUACACCAAAGCAAUAACGUAUUGCAUUUCAUGGAACCUAAGAAUCAUUUAUUCUCAAAUGCAUCUUAUUUCAGAGAUAUUUAAAUGUAAAAACUUGUACAUUCUAGAAUUCAUGCAUUAUGGUUUGCUGAAAGAGAAUGUUUAACUUUACAGAACUAAUUUAUUCCUAAGAAAUAGUUUACAAUUCAAAGGCCAACUCUAAACUCAUAACUGAUACUGAGUAUUUUCACAGCUUAAAGACUUUUUUUUACCAAUCGCACUAAAGUUGUUAAUAAAGCAAAGGUAAAAGGUCCAUAGAAUGUAUGAGUGUUGAAUUAGUGCAUAAUAACAUAUCAGUGGAGCUAAGUUGAAAUUAAUAUAAGAAUUCAGUUAAUCAUCAUUUGCAUAAAUUCAGCCUGUAGACUAAAAAUAGGGCCAUAUUUAAAUUUUAAAAAUAAUGACGUGUUCAAAUACAAUGUUUAGAGUUCUUAUUUGGAUAAUUCAGCAGCAUUUAGACCAUAUUUUGAUAUAAAAAAUAGUAUAAAUACUAUGAGAUAUAACAUAUUUGACUUCAAAAAAGAAAAGAAAGAAGAAAUUUUGCCCCUACCCUCCAAAAUUAUUGCUUAUUUUCCCUGAAUAAAAAUAGAUAUGUAUUCCACAAUCUUUUUUUCCCAAUUAUUAUAUUGAGUAUGUAUUCCUAUUUUAUUUAAUUUUUAUUCUUGAUCCUUGAAAUUUAUCUGUUCUGAAGCAUUACAAGUAACGGAAUAAAAAAUGGAUGAGUAAACACACUGGACUCUCCCCUGGCUCAGAAGGGCACUUGUCAUUAAAUCUGUAGCCAAGGAAUAUGUGAUUCUUAAUGGGUUUCCUGCAGCCUUCCUUGGAGUUUCUGCCUUCUCUUUAUCUUAUAAAAGGACCCCAAGGGCAGUUGGCAGGGAUGGGUUUCCUCCAGGCUCCUCUGAGUGCAGAUGAUUCUGAGGAUACAUCACAACCAGAAGUCCUGCUGUCACUGGGUCUUGGGACAUACCACAGGGGAUACCGGUAGAUGCAUUUGGCACUUUAUCCUAAAACCUAAUUGCAGUCUCAGUGCACCAGAGGAACCAAAUCAUGUUCCUGCCCAAAGAAAAGUCCAGGCUGCUUAAGCCUAAACCAACCCCAGACUCUGGUCUGGCCUUCCAUGAGAUGGGUGUGCUGUUUUGGGGAUGGGUAAAGACUAAUUCCUUAUAGACUGUCAGCAACUUCAUUAGGAGAGAACUGAGGUAUGGCUAUAGGUGUCAGGGAGAAAUACAAUUAAUCCAGAUGCCCAUCUCUUCAAAGAUAGGGGACAUCCUAUCAAGCAACAAUUGUUUCUUCCAGGCUUCAUAGCUUACAAUUACCUUUAGAAGUGUGCCUGGAGAAUAGAUUUGCCUUAAUUCAAAACUUUUCUUUCAUGGCCAAUCAUCUGUUGUACCCAGUUUCCAAGUCAGCCCUAAUGAUCUUCACUUCCUGAUAUUCAGUCCCCUCCCAUACUGAAUGCGUGUCCUAUGUGACCAGUAAAAUGUGGCAGAUGUAACGGCAUGUAACUUCUAAGGCUAGGUCAUAAAAGGCAUCACAGCUUCCACCUUGGGAUUGCUUACUCUAGGGGAAGCCAGUUGCCAUGUCAUGAGGACACUCAAGCAGGCCUGUGGAGAGGCUCACAAGGAGAGGGACAGAGCUCCCCUGCCAACAGACAGCACUAACUUGCUGACAGUGAGAGUAAGCCACUUUGGAAGAGGAUCCUCCCUGCAGCCCCAGUCAAGCCUUCAGAUUCCUGCAGUUCUAACUGACAUCUGCCUGCAACCACAUCAGUGGCCCCUCCCUUCCAUCACUUAAGCAGUGUGAGCUAUCCAGCCUAGCUCUUCCUAGAUUCCUGACCAACAGAAAAAGUGAGAGAAAAUAAAUGAUUAUUGUUUUAACCCACUAUAUUAGUCCAUUUUCAUGCUGCUGAUAAAGACAUACCUGAGACUGGGUAAUUUAUAAAGAAAAAGAGGUUUAGUGGACUCACAGUUCCACGUGGCUGGUGAGACUUCACAAUCAUGGUGGAAGGCAAAAGGCACAUCUUACAUGGCAGCAGACGAGAGAAUGAGAGCUAAGUGAAAGGGCAAACCCCUUAUAAAACCAUCAGAUCUCGUGAGACUUAUUCACUACCAUGAGAACAGUAUGGGGAAACCACUCCCUAAUUCAAUUAUCUCCCACCAGAUCCCUCGCACAACAUGUGGGAAUUGUGGGAGCUACAAUUCAAGAUGAGAUUUGGGUGGAGACACAGCCCAAGCAUAUCAGCCACUGUAUUUUGAAAUGAUUUAUCACAAAUCAUUGGAGUAACUAGAACAUCAUAAUUGUGUCAUUAGUCACCAAUUGUAUUUAUUCCACAAACUUUUAUCGAGCACCUGUUAUAUGUCAGGCCCUUUGUUAGGCUGGGAUACAAAGAACUACAACACACAGUUGUUGCUCUCAAUCCUUGGGAACACAGAUGAGUAAAUAUGAAUGACAGCACAAGAUCCCAUGAACAAAAUGCUGUAAGAACACAACAAAAGAGGAAUGAUUUUCUUUCCUUUGUCAAUAAAAUAAGUUAUUUAUUUUUUCAAUAAAAAUGUACUUAGUGCUUUCUAGGAGCCAAUCGCUGUGAUCUGUGAUAGAUGCUGAUAAAAAUAUGGUGAACGAGACACAAACCUUUUCCCAAGGUCAAUGUCAAAAGCUGAGGAGAUACCAUUUAGAAAAAAGCUAAAAUGAGGCCAUCAAAUUUUGCAUAUUGUGACCUUAGUGAGAGCAAUUUCUGUAAAAUGGUGAAAAUAGAUAAAAAAUUUGAAUAGGAAAAGGAGGAAGAGUCUGCUGGUAUAGAACAUAUUAUUUUUUCAAGAAUGUUAGUGACAAAAAGGAGAAAAGAGAAAGGUCAAGAACUUGGUUCUCCUGCUUACCUUCCAUAAGCUCAGCUGAUUUCAUCACCAGUGACUUUCUUCCCUUCUUCACUGGAGCUGGAGAUACAGGUGACACAACAACGCUGACCUAAAAUAGGCUCAGGGCACUAGCAGGACCCUGAGAGUGAAUGCCUCCUUAAAUUUUGCACCCUAACCAUCUUACUCACUUCACUCUAGUCCCAGCCCUGCAGGUAAGGGAUUGCUUCUUGAUGUUAAAAUGAGCUUUAGACAAGAUAGAAACAACUGUUACAAGCUUCAUCGCUGCUUAAAGACAAUGACAUGAUGCAUUAAUGUAGAAAACUAACGUUCAAUAACUACUGAUGAUAGUAGACAUUCCCAAGGAUAAGCAUGUAUAAGCAGAGUGGGUUAAUUGGAGAGACUGGCUGGCUCCUCCCACCUCUAACUGGGUGGCAUUCCCCACGGAGAAUUGAGCAGGGUAGAGAGGCUGCCUUCGGACUUGAGGAUGCUCACUCACACUAACCUGCUCUGGGGCUGAGCUCUCAAGAGACUACCCUGUAAAACCAGAAUGCCAAUCUUAAUUCACAAUGGCAACUGUAACUAGUAAGCCUAGUGCAUGCCAGUGUCUGCCCACCCAGCUUGGUGAGCCUGAAAUCAGAACAGGAGAUGCUAUGGGAUUUAACUGUUAAAAGAUCUUAAGGUCCCAAAGUCUGCAGCCUCCUUUUGUGUAUGAUGGGGGGCAUAGCAGUGUACCCUCUACCCUAGAAAAUGUUCUAUUGGGCACACUGUGCCUCUUAGAUGCUGCCUUUUCUGAGGAUACAUAAAUGAUUAAACUACUUGAGUGGAUGAUUCAGGGAGGAUAUUCUAAAUGUAUAAUAACCCAUACGUCAUGGGCUCCAGUCAAGCAGAAUGCCAGCAGGAGGGGGCACUGCUGGAGGCUCCCUGUUCUGCCAACUGCUGGAUUGCGGGGAGUUCCAGAGUGUCUGGGAGAGGGAAGCAGUGCUGGGGGUUUGGGUAUCAUGACUACUUAUCAACCACCUGGAAGUAUUUUGAUUUUUGAUGAUUGGCAGUCUGAUUUUCAGUCUUCUUCUUGUAUGUGAAUAUUGUGAUCAGGGCACAGGCUGCCUUGGAAGCCUUGCAGCCAUUCUUGCGGUGGUAACUUCUCUUUUUAACCUGAAUGCAUUUAAUGCUGAAUCAAAAUUUAGUUCUCAGAGGAAAACCAUAUUUCCCAGUUCUUAAAGACACCCCAUUGUUACCUCAACUAUUACCUCUAAUAAAUAUUAUCAAAUUGCAAUGGCAUUGAUAUUUUUCUUUCUCAGAACCUUUUAUAAGAAGUGAUAUAUAUUAGGUUCUUCUUAAAUUCUUUCUAAUAAAUUAGAUGAAUGAACAAACAAUGGGAGUAUUCUAAUUACAAUUUGCAUUUCCAUAAAUGGCUAAUAAUAGUGGAAUAUCUUUUUAUAUAGUUAUCUAUUUGUCCAUCUGUAUAUUUCCCCUGGUAAAAAUGUUGCUUCAGAUAUUUUGUUCAUUUUGAAAAUUGCAUUGUUUCCUUAUUGUUCAAUGUUGAGAGUUCCUUGUGUGUUCUAUAUACAAGUCUUUUUUUGGAGGGACACAUGAUUUGCUAAUAUUUUCUCCCAACCUAUAGCAUGUCUUUUCAUUCUCUCAGUAGUAUCAUUUGCAGAGCAAAAGUUUUAAAUUUUGAUAAAAAAUAAAUUUAUGACUUUUCAAAAAUUGUAUGGAUGAUGUGUUUUUUUCACAUCUAAGAACUCUUUGCCUAACACGAGAUGUCCAUGAGAAGAUCAGCCUGCUGAGAACAGGCCUUCAUAAACUUGAAUGAGAGAUAAAGACAGACCAGCAAAGCCAAGCUCCCAUCUUAACAAGGGGUGUGGUCUUCUCAGUACUCUCUCUCCCUCAGCUGUAGUUACGGUCCUGUAGAUAUUCUAGUGCCUCACCCAGGGUGGGGUGACCAACUCCUCCCAGCUUGUCAGGGACUUUUCCAGUAUUAGCUCUGAAAGUCUCAUGUCAGUCCUGGAUAAACAAACUAGGAGUAGAGAGUGUUUUCUGUUCCUCAGCUGCAAUGGGUUUUCCCCAGAGUCCUAAGGGUGGCAGUGCUGACUACCCUCCUCUUAGGUGAAAGCUUUUGUUCCUCGGAAGAGAUAAAGGAGAAGGUCCUGGUGGGGGGUUCUUGCUCCUUUCGGCAGAGGCUGCUAUUCUGCUUUCUCAGUGUGUUCCUGGUGGGGCUCCUGGAGAAGAGCUUGCAAGAGGGUGCAAACUCUCCUGUACCUGAAACUCCCAGGGGCUCUACAUUCUCCUACCAGCCCACAUGCAGCCUCUACCAAUGUGUUAACUAUUCUGGCUAGAUUCUUUCUACCAGUGUCUGUGUCUGCCCCAGGUCAGCAAGAUGUCUUAUGUCUCCCUGCAGACACUUCUCAUUCCUUAGAUUUUGGGCUACUGGGUUUUCCUGCAACUUCAGUUUUCUGAUGGGUUUAAGGAAAGUGAUAAACUUGCAGUCUGUCUGGCAGUGGAUUAUCACACACAAUAAUGAAGUGAGGUUCUUUCAAGCUCUGUACAUCUCUGAGUCAAACAUUUGAUUUUUAAUGUGUAACUAAUAAAAAAUUCAACUGCACACACACAAUACACACACAUGCACAUAAACACACACAACCCACUAUAUAUUCAACUCAUAGCUGCCAUAGGUUGAUGAGUAUACUCAUUAUUGUCUUGUAUUUGUCAGAAGUUCAGAUAAGAGCAGGUAGGAUUGGUUGUAGUUUCAGUGAACUAUCCUGAAGAAGUAUCAUUUCCAUUUCUCUUCUAUGUGCAAUCUAGGAAUGUUGUGGAAGUUUCUUUUGCAUUUAGAAUGUCAGCCACCAUAUUGACAUUCUGUCUCUCUGCACAUUUGGCCCUCGCUUUCCUUUACAAAUUGGAUUUGUAUUGUUUACUUAGAUUUAUUCUUGUUGCAGUCUAUUAAUUUAAUAAAUAUAUAUUGGGUGUUUACAGAGAGUAAGUUAUAUUAGAGAUACAAAGUACAUGUUGAAUUCUUAUGGAAAGUCCCAAUAUUUUAAGAGUUUGGGGCUCAAACGUGUCUUGUAAGUUGAUGUCUUGUUAUUUUCAACUCUGUAGAUGUCUCUGUGUUAGGAAAACUUGGAUAAGCAGGUCCAUAGAAAUUCCUCUGCUAGCCCUGUCUCCUGGAAUUUCUACAUAAUGGCAUAUCCUCAGUUUGAAUAGCUCUCUGGUUCCAGUUUGAAGCUGAAAAGGUUAAAUUCUACCUGAAGGAUGAAAACAACCAACAUUCUGUGCCAAGACAGUCAGGAGGGCAACCAUGUUUCCUGGUGGAGCCUCUGGAACCACUCAAGCCAAGAUGACCGGGGGUUUGGCUGGGAGGAGAUGGGGAAACUACAGACCCUACAGAUGGUUUCCUGUACCAUGAGGUUAAGCCUGGGGGCAGGAGAGGCUGUACCUUAGUUCCUUCAUCUGUAAAAUAAAGUAACAUAGUACCUACCUCAUAAGGGUGUUCUAAUGAUUGAACUUAUUAUACGUAAACUUUGAACAGUUUGUGGCUCAGAUUAUUAUUUCUAGUUUCUCAGAUCAGUUUUUCUGUAUUUUGACCUUGCUUAUUCUUUUGAAUGCUGCUGACAGUUCUCACAUUUCUCUUUAUCCUUUGUUGUCCAGCCAGGUUUUAAAAAGAAGGUGUAGAUCACUAGGGUUUCUUUCCUCUGCUGUUGCAUGAGUAGGAUUAUUUUCCUUCUAGGUCUCUGUAAGAAGAGUUUUGACCGAGAACUUCAUGCACUCUGUUGAAAUGGAGCACAUCUGCUAUAAAACUUCACUUUAGGGGCUGAUGAGCAGGAACUGAAUGUCAAGCUAUAGAUCCCUAAAUAAGGUUGGCUUUCAUAUGCCCUAUAUCCUUUUCAAGAUUUCAGUUAAUAGGGCAUUAAAUGGGAGUAGUGAUGAUACACUAAAGUGGUAGAUAUUGUGAAAAGAAUGUAUAGAGUACAAUAAAAUCUUUACAUAAGUUCUGCACUUGACAAGGGAGAAGAAUCAAUUGCUUAAUUAAAAGUGAAAUGUUUUUAUCACUUUGAGAUAAUGCCCUAGGAUGAUUUUGAAAGUGACAUGUAGUUGACUCUCUAGAAUUGAGAGUAAUUCUAGAAUCAUUAUGAUAUUUUUUUGUGCAUCCUUUAAUUUUAUUUAAUAGGACAAUAGAUUUUUAUUUCCCCCAGGCCGAGGCAAUGGAGUAUCUUUGAGUAAUCUGCAAGCUGGUCCAAAGGGAAUAACAAAGGAGGAAAUAUUCUUCGUAAACAAGCCCUGCAACCCAAAAGUGGAGUAAGAAUUUCCUGUCCCAGUCUUAGGAGAUGGUCAAAAGCUCUGCAUAUUUCUCCACUGAAUUAGAUUUCAUAACUUCCUGUGAUGUCAUUUGCUAUUUUUCCCCUGGCUUGAGUUAGGACUUCCCUUUCAGAGUUUUGUCAACCCAGUUUUCUUUAGACCACUUUAGAAGCAAGAAUAUCUACUACAGAUUCAUGAAAAGAGCACUGAAUAAGAAGUUAGGAUAAGUGGAUUUCUAAGGCCAAUUUUCCUUCUUACAAUUUGACUUCAGAAACGAGUACUCAUACCAAGCUCACAUUUCCUAAAUAAUUCACAUUCUUGAAAGGUAGAAAGAGCUGUCUUACGAAAUGGUGUGUUUCCUGUCAUUGAAAGUAUGCCAAAAGAUGCUUGAAAACCACUUCUUAAGACUCUUGUGCAAUUUUCAUAUAAUAAGAUUAGACUUGAUGGUUCUAUAAAAAAAACUCUCUGAAUCUUGAAACUCAAUGAUUCUGUGCUUUAGUUCUAUGAAGAGAAGAGAAGCAGGGAGGGAAUGAUGAAGGGAUCUAGCAUAUCUAUUCAGCCUUGUGUGGAUUUCAGCCUUGGUCUCUGGAGAUGCUUCAAGCUUCCUAAAGUGGUACUUCUGCCUGUCCAUUCUGACUCC